rnacentral:rRNA from 1 species
UGGGGAAUAUUGGACAAUGGGCGCAAGCCUGAUCCAGCCACGCCGCGUGAGUGAUGAAGGCCUUCGGGUCGUAAAGCUCUGUGGGGAGGGACGAACCGCUGUGCGUGCAUAGCGCGCAGCAUGACGGUACCUCCUUAGCAAGCACCGGCUAACUUCGUGCCAGUAGCCGCGGUAAUACGAAGGGUGCAAACGUUGCUCGGAAUUAUUGGGCGUAAAGCGCACGUAGGCGGCUUAGCAAGUCGGAUGUGAAAUCCCUCGGCUCAACCAAGGAAGUGCAUCCGAAACUGCUGAGCUUGAGUACGAAAGAGGAUCGCGGAAUUCCCGGUGUAGAGGUGAAAUUCGUAGAUA